UACGUAGGGUGCGAGCGUUGUCCGGAAUUAUUGGGCGUAAAGAGCUCGUAGGCGGUGUGUCGCGUCGGCCGUGAAACCUGGGGCUCAACUCUGGGCGUGCGGUCGAUACGGGCAUCACUUGAGUUCGGCAGGGGAGACUGGAAUUCCUGGGUGUAGCGGUGAAAUGCGCAGAUAUCAGGAGGAACACCGGUGGCGGAAGGCGGGUCUCUGGGCCGA
rnacentral:rRNA from 1 species